AGCUAUGACCCGAAGAUAGUGAACUAUGCUUGGCGAAGACGAAGCCCCAGGAAACUGUGGUGGAAGUCUGUAGCCGUUUUGACGUGCAAAUCAAUGGUGUCAGCUGAGCAUAGGGGCGAAAGACCAAUCGAACUAUCUAGUAGCUGGUUCCAUUCGAAGUUUCUCUCAGGAUAGCUUGCGUGACAUUAACGCUAUGAGUCUGGACUCUUCGGUACACGAAAGCGUGCUGGUAGUCCGUCCCACUUUGUCUGCAGUUGUUGAGAGUUGACGUAGCCAAGAACUUUGUCAUCUCACUCUCUAGUCGCCAGGGUAGCGUAUCAUUUGACCGUGAGCAGUUACGUCUGGUAAAGAGAAUGAGUAGAGUUAGCUCGUUGCUUUCUAUAGCAACAGCAGCGGGGCGUCCUACGCCUCGCACUAUUAUCAAACUUUAAAUGGGCGAGGUACCCGGUAUUUUCUUAAUUGCUUGAUACCGGGGCGAAACACGUCUUGGCUUUACCGUCGAGGCGAAGGUGAAUGCGUGCGCGCAAAGUGGGUCCUUUCUGGUAAGCAGAACUGAUAAUGAGGGAUGAACCUAACGCAUGUGCUAAGGGGCCAAAGAGACAGCUAUUUCUCGAAACCAUUGGAAAGGUGUUGCUUGCUGAAGACAGCAGGACGGUGGUCAUGGAAGUCGAUAUCCGCUAAGGAGUGUGUAACUACUCAUCCUGCCGAAGCGAGUAACCCUGAAAAUGGAUGGCUCUAUAGCUCUCUCCCGAUGCACGGCCGUCAGUAGCACUUGAGUCACCUCGUGUCUCUACGCUCUGACGAGUAGAAUGGUUGUGCUGCAUUGCGUUGACGGCUAUCGCGUGAGCGUGGUCUGAGCGUGCA
rnacentral:rRNA from 1 species